ACAGGACAAGAAGUGAAGAUUGUCACUGUGGGCAGUGUUAUGGAUGGAUUAUAUGGUGUUAUGUGUAUGGAUUAUAGUUACACGUUUUUUAAAGUAAUUAUUAGUUCAAUAGUUUAUCAGUCUUCUUAAUAUCUGAAAGGAUUUUGCUCCAGAGUUCAACAACAAGGUUUUUUUUUUUUUCAGCUGGUGAUUUUUUUGCAUCAGUAAGGUUUUUCUUUAUGAAGAUAACUACUACUGUAUUUUUCUGAAUAUAAGAUGAACCUGGUUAUAAGACAAUCCACUUUUUCAAGAUUUUUGAAGAUCAGAUCUUGUCUUCUCUUGACCCAAUUCCUUAAAUAUGUUAAACAUUUUCAAGUCAUGUGAUUUAUUGGUAUUGUUUAUUUCAUAAUUUACCAACAUAACUACAUGUUGCACACUCAUAUUUUCUUUUGAGCUGUAUUUAUAAUGUAGUGAUAUACAACGUGUGCCACCGCAUUUAGUUUAUAGCAAUUGAAGAAUGCGUGCAACAAGCACAGUGUAACACCUGACAGGAGAAAGUUCAUUUUUCUGAGGUGAGAGAGACUUAUAACCCGACAACAUCUUAUCUGACAAUAGAUACUGAAUCAAGACAACUCCUUUUUUCUGGCACUCUUAAAGGGUGAGUUAACCCAAAAAUGUAAAUUCUGUUGUUAAUUAUAGUUAUUUUUGGCCAAGUCCAGGAGUUUUUUGACCUUUUAUACUACAUUCAAGGCUCAGAAAGGUAGUAAGGACAUCAUUAGAAUAGUCCAUAGCCACCUUUCCAUCGAAAUUACCUGGAAAAAUUUGUCCCAGGAACUUUUUUUCCUCCAGACCUGUUGCUGUCUGCGUUUCCAUUACAGUCUAAAGUACUAAAAAGAUUUGGCAAAUAGUUUGGUGGGAUAGGUCUGUGCGCGUUUCUCAAUUUUAAGUAUGCGAAUUUCGAACUUGCAUCCUCGGUAGUUCGCACUUCGCAAUCUGAUCUCCUGAGGUUGGGACAACGCAAGUCUGGUAAUUCUGCAAAUGGAACAUCAGCGUAAUUGAUAACUUCAGUCAGCUCCCCUUGGCUACUGCAAUUUUCCUCACUGUAUGUACAAUUAGACGAAUUGAAUUGAAUUGAAUUGAGACGAAAUGUAAUCUGAAAUACCAUUGCCUCUUUUCGUUUUCAUUUAAACCUGAAUGUAGAAAUGUAGUUUAGGGAACGUACAUACAUUACAGUGAAACAAAAUAUUAUAUCAAACAGUAUUGCAUCUUUUUCAUUUAAAUUUUAACAUAUUAAUAGAUUAAUAGAAUAAAGACCAAAGAUUAUCUAUAAGAUUUACCCAAAACAAAUUAUAACUUAUGUUUAACCACUACAGAGACAUCAGAGCCAGCGGCAAAUGUCAGAAAAACUGCUCUCGUAGGGAUCGCGUGGAGGUCACGUCUCCGAGAUCGGCGAAGCACAUUUUCAAAUAGGUGCUGUCUUUACAAAUAAACAGCAUAUUUGAUUUUUAAAGAAAUACAUUCUCACCUGAAAUACUUUGAAAACUACAUUUCAUGUAAAGAAAUACAAUGCUGAGCGAACUCAACCAAUCAGCAUGUUCAGCGCCAAAGUCCCGCCCCUGAAAGUUCCAGACCUUUGAAAAAGUACUACCUCACGAGCAGGGACUUUCUGGGGGGCAAAUUUUUACCCAGAACUUUAUUUAGAUCUCGGUUUAUGCUGUGGAAACACACAGAGUCCCUGGAGAAAGUUUGUGGGGUGGAAAUGGAUAUCAGUGGUUAAAUCUUAAUUUUGUGAAGCUAAGAGCUAAUACUUUUUUUGCACAAAGAAAACAAAGAUCAGACUUUAUUCAACAAUUUCUUCUUUCUUGUGUCAGCUGUCAGUGUACAUUCACAAAAGUACCACGCAGAGAUAUAAAGAGUAUUUGAGAACCAUACUUGAGUAAAAGUACAGAUACCUUACAGUGAAAAUUACUCCACUGCAAGUUACAAGCAGUGUAACAAUACUUAAAUAUUUUACUUAUACUAAAUAUAGGCUCAAAGAAGCGCUAGUCAAAGAGAUACAAGUGAAAAUCUGUAAUGUUGUGGUGAAGCUGGGGAAAAGAAGCAGAAACAAGGAUCUAUGUGAAGGUAUUUAAUUUAAAACCUAGAACAAAAAUCAAAAAACACAGGGAACAAAGAAUGCCAGGCAAACAGACAACUAUGACAUUCAAUAACUCACAAGAAACUAGAGUAACACUAGGGCUAUAUAUACACGGGGUUAACAAGAUAAAAAGACACACCUGGGGAAACUAAUCAAGGGGAACCAAUGAACAAACGAACUACAAACUGACUACAAAACCCACGGGAGACAGGAAGUGACAAAAAUCCAAGACGAAGCACAGAGAACAUGUAACAAAAACAAGAAAGAGUUGAUUUGUGAAGAGAACAAUAAUGUUCAUUAUUUAAAACCAAACUAAAACUGAACACCUCAAAACUGCAAAAAACAACAACAACAACAUUUUCCUUCAAAAAGAUCUAUUUAGUAUAAUGAAAAAAUAAAACUCUCAGGUAAAAUUAAAAAGACAAAACCUUCUUGCUCUGGAUGUGCUGGUUUUGGCCCCAUUGCCGGCUGCAGUCUUGUCCUCAACUCAUUUAACCUGUGAUCCACAACUACUUGCUAAUGAACUCGCAUUCAAGUAAAGUAGCCAUGUUUACAAGUUUGGGUGAGUAGGGCAAGCAAAAUGAGUACUUUAAGUGCCCUGUAGUUGGCAAUUUCACUUUUGUAGCAGAAAUAAACUGCUGCAGAAAAAGCUAAGGUGCAAUGCAAAAAAUAAUAUACAUUUGCCACAAAUGUUGUGGACUAAAGAGUACAGAUACUCAUUCAAAAAUGCAGUGAAGUAGAGUGAAAUCUGCUUGUAAAUAAGGUGCAGCCCAUCCAGGUUCUACGUCAGAAUGCUGACUCCAGCGUAAGCAGCUUCACACGCAUGUGUCGUGGUACUCUUGUGAAUAUGCAUCAAAGACACAGAAGAGAAGAAAUUGUUGAAUAAAGUUGUUAUUUUGUUUUUCUUGCGAAAAAAAUGUAUUCCCGUAGCUUCAUAAAAUUAAGGUUAAACCGCUAUGUCCUUACUACCUUUCUGGAGCUUCAACGUGUCAGUUGCGUUGCUAUUUAUGGAGGAUUUAGGAGCUAGUUUUAUUGACAAAAUGCUUUAUGAAACACUCUUUAUUUUUUUAAAUAACACGCCGUUAUUUUUUAAAGAUUUUCUCCUGAAUCUGCGAUUUAUUAGCUAGCCUUAAGAAGUUUUGUGAAUACGGCCCAGAUUUGUUCUUAGUGUGACCUAGUGAAUCAUAUUUUAAUCUUGAUCACAAUUUCUGCUUCUCUUUGGUUAUUGAUCUUUCAUUUUAAUUUGGCAUUUGCAUUAUCUUGAAUUGGUAACAAGCCUCCACAAGCUUUUAUGUUUAUGGUUGCCAGAUUUCAAGGGUUUAAAUCCCCCAGUCAGAGCUUUUUUUCAGAAAUCCUUUUAUGCACAGUAGUUCUUCCCAACCUGGAAACCAUGGGCACACACUCUCUCUGCAUUACGAAAAAAUUGCUGAUAAGCUGAAAACACUUGCAUACAUUUAAGCUGGAGUUUAGUGAUCUCUAUUGAAAUAUUCUGCUCAAAAAUAAAAAAGUAAUACAGUCUUUUCACGCAGUUGUUUGCGCUGUUUGCUGUGACUAAGUCUGUGACAAACCAUGUUAGUUGAAUUUUUCCGAUGAAA